rnacentral:tRNA from 1 species
AGCUGGAUAGCUCAGGCAGUAGAGCACUUGUCCUGUUAGCGAGAGGUCCCGGGUUCGAUCCCUGGUCUGGUAG